AGUUACCCACGUCGGCGCUAACUCAGUUCCUCUCACGAUUCAUCUGUUUCCUCACCAUCGUUCAUAGCGACGGACCGUCGGCGGCGGCGGCUCCUCCCUGAUCCAGUCUCGUUAGGUGCGCCGACGGCUUCCUCUCUCCCUCGCGGUUCCAUUACAGUGCCAAUAUUUUCCUCUGCCUCUCUCCCUCGCGGUUUGAUUCAAGGCUGGCGGAGCGGCGACAACUUCCUCUGCCUCUCCCUCUCGCGGUUCAGCCCCUUCCUGAUCCCUCCUCCAUCCGUGCUCUGGCAAUCAUGGCGAGAGGGGCGGUCUCGGCUCCCCGGCCGCCUCUUUGUCCGCUCAGUCUACCGCAUCCAGCGCCCGCGCACCCACCAUACCCCUGUUCCCAUUUCAUCGGCAGCUGCGACGGCCGGCAUCCAUUGCGACCUUCAUGGCGAGGAUGACGGCCUCGACAUGGUGGCCGCUUCUUGCCCUGCACCCCCAACCGCGACCUUUACAGGAUCACUCGCCUCAUCCCCAAUCCAUGACUUCUUGGUCUUGCAGGUACCAGGGCAACUUGAACAUGCAGUCCGUCAGUUUUGCAAUGAAUUGAAGCUAGCUGGUUCAGUUUCAUCAAAACUAAGGAAGCACAACAACAUGUGUAUUUAGUUCUGUAAUAGAUAGGAAUUUAUCGGUGAUUUUAGGCUACACAUUGCAAACUGGGUGAUCAAUGCUGAUGCCUUUGAACCUGGAGCAUCAACUGAAGGCUGCACCGGUACCAAUCAGAAAGGUCCAUAAAGUGGUGCUUCAAGAAGGAAGAUGUUCAAUUCUGAAGUGUGCAUUGUGAUGAUCAUUGAUGUUCUUUUGUAGGCUGUGGCUCUAUUUCGACCAGCUCCUUUUCUUCUUUUGAUCUGCUUAAGAUAAUAUAACUUGUACCAUCACUGAAUGUUGAUUUGUAAUAGCAAAUUGAUGUGAAUUUAGACUGUGGCUCAAUAUGGAUUAAGAUGAAUUAAACUGUACUUGGAAUC